rnacentral:lncRNA from 1 species
CCCCGCCCGCGCGCGCCCCCCCCCGGAGGGGGGGGCGCGGCGGGGGGGGGGGGGGGGGAGUCGAGGAGGGGCCGCGCCCGGUCCUCGCCCGCAGCGGGCACCGCCGGGGGCCCCGGGAGGCCUUGUUGGUAUUCCGGGCACAGCAGAAGCCCUGACCUCCCCGCGGAACAGGGGCGCCCGGGAGCGCGGCGCGGCCGCCGCCCCCGGGCGGUCUCCCCGGACUGCGGGGCCGUAGGCGCCUUGCUCCCCCUCCUCCCUGUCCCCUCCUCUCCAGGUCCCCCGUACCCCCUCCCCCGGCCUGAUCCGGCGGCGAAGGGGUGGGCAGGGAAACGCGCUCUCUGGGACAGGUGCCAACUCCGAGACAAAAGACAUAAAAUAGGCGGCAACGGGGGAAGCGCGGCCGGCGCGCUCGGGCGGGGACGGAGGCGCCGCGGGGGCCGCAUCCUCGGUGCCGACCGGGGAAAGUUUGGGAAGUCGCCGCGGCGGCUUCGCAGCGGCGGGGGACACGCGGGCCGGGCCGCCCUCCGCGCCGCGCUCGCCCUCUCCGCGCCGCUGCUGAAUAAUUCAUGGCGCGGCCGCCGGCCAUUAGCAUGCACCGGGCGCGCGGCGCGUCUGUGCCCAGCCGUCGCCGCCGCAUUCGGCGCCCCGGCCGCGCUAGACGAGCGGCCGCGCAGAGGCCGGGCCCGCGCCGUCCCCGCGCUCGCCCGCCCGUCCGCCCGUCCGCCCACCCGGCGGCUCCCAUUGUGCCCCAGGCCCGCGCCGCUCCGCCGUCCUGUGACCGCCUGCGCCCCGCAGCGCGCCCGACGGCCGGCCGCUGGAAGUUCGGGCCCGCGGCGCACGCCCUGCCGCCCCGGGAUGCACGUGAACUUGGAGAAAGUCUCGGGGCGCGCCGGCGCAGACCUCCGCGGCAGGGCGUGGGCGCCCCUGGCCCCGCGCGCUUUCGUUUUCGUCUGGGACAAAGGUCCCUCGCGGCGCAGGUCGCGGACGUGGAGGCAGUGCCCUGCGGGCCACUCAGCGGGGAGGUCCGGUCGUUCAGUCAAGGGAAGCCGGAGCCUGGAGAAGACGAGCCGCGCGGUCGGAGGCGCGGUGCGGGACCAGGACAGUGGGGCCUGGCCGUGCGCUUCGCCCUGGCGGUCCAGGAGCUGUCUCGCCCUCCGAAGAGUUACGGGAGGUGGCACUGCUUUUGCUCUCUGCCCUUUCGACACGUGAAGGAGAGAAUCAUUCGGAACCCAGGACUCAGACCGGUGGCCGAGGGCCUGUGCAGCCGCGAGCACGACAGCGCAGCGCUGGCCGCGUCCGCGCGCGUUCCUCCGACAAGGGCAGAGCAGUCGACCAGCGCGCCCCAGUCUCGAUCGGGUUCAAGGCGACUCUUGAGGACGGUGGCUGACACACGGGCCCAGCCGGCAGCCCUGGGGAAUUUGUGGGGAGCAAGAAAGGGGUGA